rnacentral:rRNA from 1 species
UUGAACGCUAGCGGGAGGCCUAACACAUGCAAGCCGAGCGGUAGAGUGUCUUCGGAUACUUGAGAGCGGCGUACGGGUGCGGAACACGUGUGCAACCUGCCUUUAUCUGAGGGAUAGCCUUUCGAAAGGAAGAUUAAUACCUCAUAAUAUACUGAUUGGCAUCAAUUAGUAUUGAAAGCUCCGGCGGAUAGAGAUGGGCACGCGCAAGAUUAGAUAGUUGGUGAGGUAACGGCUCACCAAGUCAAUGAUCUUUAGGGGGCCUGAGAGGGUGAUCCCCCACACUGGUACUGAGACACGGACCAGACUCCUACGGGAGGCAGCAGUGAGGAAUAUUGGACAAUGGGUGCAAGCCUGAUCCAGCCAUCCCGCGUGAAGGACGACGGCCCUAUGGGUUGUAAACUUCUUUUGUACAGGGAUAAACCUACUCUCGUGAGGGUAGCUGAAGGUACUGUACGAAUAAGCACCGGCUAACUCCGUGCCAGCAGCCGCGGUAAUACGGAGGGUGCAAGCGUUAUCCGGAUUUAUUGGGUUUAAAGGGUCCGCAGGCGGGCUAGUAAGUCAGUGGUGAAAGCCUACAGCUUAACUGUAGAACUGCCGUUGAUACUGCUAGUCUUGAGUAUAGUUGAGGUAGCUGGAAUGAGUAGUGUAGCGGUGAAAUGCAUAGAUAUUACUCAGAACACCGAUUGCGAAGGCAGGUUACUAGGUUAUAACUGACGCUGAGGGACGAAAGCGUGGGGAGCAAACAGGAUUAGAUACCCUGGUAGUCCACGCCGUAAACGAUGUCUACUAGCCGUUGGGGCCUUUGAGGCUUUAGUGGCGCAGCUAACGCGAUAAGUAGACCGCCUGGGGAGUACGGCCGCAAGACUAAUACUCAAAUGAAUUGGCGGGGGCCCGCACAAGCGGUGGAGCAUGUGGUUUAAUUCGAUGCAACGCGAAGAACCUUACCUGGUCUUGACAUAGUAAGAACUUUCCAGAGAUGGAUUGGUGCCUUCGGGAACUUACAUACAGGUGCUGCAUGGCUGUCGUCAGCUCGUGCCGUGAGAUGUUGGGUUAAGUCCCGCAACGAGCGCAACCCUUUUCCUUAUUUGCCAGCGGGUAAGUUGGGGACUCUAGUGAGACUGCCUACGCAAGUAGAGAGGAAGGUGGGGAUGACGUCAAAUCAUCACGGCCCUUACGCCUUGGGCCACACACGUGAUACAAUGGCCGGUACAGAGGGCAGCUACACUGCGAAGUGAUGCAAAUCUCGAAAGCCGGUCUCAGUUCGGAUUGGAGUCUGCAACUCGACUCUAUGAAGCUGGAAUCGCUAGUAAUCGCGCAUCAGCCAUGCCGCGGUGAAUACGUUCCCGGGCCUUGUACACACCGCCCGUCACACCAUGGGAGUGUGUUGCACCAGAAGUAGGUAGUCUAACCGCAAGGAGGACGCUUACCACGGUGUGACAGAUGACUGGGGUGAAGUCGUAACAAGGUAGCCGUAGGGGAACCUGCGGUUGGAUCACCUCCCUUA